rnacentral:rRNA from 1 species
AACGAACGCUGGCGGCAUGCCUAACACAUGCAAGUCGAACGAAGAUAUGGCUUCGGCCAUAGACUGAGUGGCGCACGGGUGAGUAACGCGUAGGAAUUUACCUUUCGGUGGGGGACAACUGAUGGAAACGUCAGCUAAUACCGCAUACGCUCUACGGAGGAAAGAUUUAUUGCCGAAAGAUAAGCCUGCGUUAGAUUAGGUAGUUGGUGAGGUAAAGGCUCACCAAGCCGAUGAUCUAUAGCUGGUCUGAGAGGAUGAUCAGCCACACUGGGACUGAGACACGGCCCAGACUCCUACGGGAGGCAGCAGUGGGGAAUAUUGGACAAUGGGGGCAACCCUGAUCCAGCAAUGCCGCGUGAGUGAAGAAGGCCCUAGGGUUGUAAAGCUCUUUCAACUGUGAAGAUGAUGACGGUAACAGUAGAAGAAGCUCCGGCUAACUCCG